CACUGAGCCAUAGGCACUGAAAUACUAAACAUUCAGGAAGGAGAGGGGUAAGCUGUAAAGAGACUGAGGUGGAAACAAGUUGUAGGAAGAAUAUUAGGAGACUAUGAUUUCCCAGAAGCCAAGUAAAGAAAUAAUUUAAGAAGAAGGAACUAAUCAACUGAAUCAAAUGCUGCUAACAGGGUUAGCAGUUCACUUUAGGUGAUCCACUAGCCAGAUAAAAGUGAGGUAAGCCACAGGAAGAAAUGAUUUGUGGAAGCUCUGCUGAGAACACUAAUGUCAUCAUAAUUACUAUCAAGUGACUAACCUCUCUCCCAAAACUCAUCAAGUAAUUAAUGUAAGGUACUGUCUAAAUAUAACAGAUGAACCAUGUUAAAAAAAAAAUCAAGGGACUUCCCGUUGGUCCAGUGGGUAAGACUCCGCGCUCCCAAUGCAGGGAGCCUGGAUUUGAUCCCUGGUCGGGG